rnacentral:rRNA from 1 species
AAUAGAUACCCGGGUAGUCCACGCCGUAAACGAUGAGUGCUAAGUGUUAGAGGGUUUCCGCCCUUUAGUGCUGCAGCUAACGCAUUAAGCACUCCGCCUGGGGAGUACGGCCGCAAGGCUGAAACUCAAAGGAAUUGACGGGGGCCCGCACAAGCGGUGGAGCAUGUGGUUUAAUUCGAAGCAACGCGAAGAACCUUACCAGGUCUUGACAUCCUCUGCCAACCCUAGAGAUAGGGCGUUCCCCUUCGGGGGACAGAGUGACAGGUGGUGCAUGGUUGUCGUCAGCUCGUGUCGUGAGAUGUUGGGUUAAGUCCCGCAACGAGCGCAACCCUUGAUCUUAGUUGCCAGCAUUCAGUUGGGCACUCUAAGGUGACUGCCGGUGACAAACCGGAGGAAGGUGGGGAUGACGUCAAAUCAUCAUGCCCCUUAUGACCUGGGCUACACACGUGCUACAAUGGAUGGUACAAAGAGCUGCGAACCCGCGAGGGUAGGCGAAUCUCAUAAAGCCAUUCUCAGUUCGGA